GCACUCGCCGGCGAGGCUGCACGGCGCCGGUUUCAUUGCUAAAAUCCGACGGACUUGUUGCAGAACUCGUUUUUUUUGUCGGGAAAGGGCUUCCCCGUGUAACUUUACAGCAGUUAUCGUAGAUAAGACUUGCAAAUUACAGAUGUGGACGGUGAGGGAACGGGAAUUUCACUGAAAGCGCCUGAGAACCAGUAAGAGACCUGCAACAGCUUUGUGCUCCACUGGCGAAUGCUUCCUCCCCUAAUACACAUUAUGUGUGCUUGGAGACACAAGGAGUAAGAUACAGCCCCUCAAGGGACUCGUCAUAGGGAGAGGACACAGCUUUGGGAAUAAAGGGGCCACAAAGGAGGAGAGAGGAGUUUGCUGAAACUUCCCAAGCUCCCAUUCCAGCAGUUCCUGAAGGAUUCAUUUCUCUCUGAGGAUCUCAUGAGGUGGCUUAGCAGCUAGAAUCUCUUCCUUAACAGUGGGAAGAACAACUCCUGGAAAUUUAGGUCGACUUUGACUGGAUUUAAAAGAAAGCUGUACAAUUCCACUUCUGUAUAUACAACCAAAGGAAAUGAGAUGUGCAUACCCAUGUUCAAUGAAGCAUUAUUCACAAUAGCCAAAAUGUGGAACCAAUCCUUAAACAAAAGGAAAACAGAAAAUCUGCUCAAGUGGGAAGAAACUAACCCUCAUUGAGUGCCUAGUUAACAUCAGGCACUUUGUACACAUAAUCAAUUGAAUCUUGACCACAACCCUGUGAGAUCCAUGGAUGAUUCUGGGUUUAGUUCUUUGUGAGACUGCCAGAAACUCCCAGAGGCUGGAUCUAUGCAUAAAGAGAGGCCAUUGGAGAGAAUGUCUACUGAAUUGCUGAAGACAAUUGCUACCGAGAAUAGAUCGUAACUUAGGAAGAAACAAUUCAGUACCAAAAGAGUAAUUGGAGCCCUUCUGGAAAACACUAGUAAGGUGAAAAAUGAGAAGAUUAAAUAAGCCAUGGGAAGAUUUUUUAAAAUGACAUGAAACUCCAAGGGUAAAAAGUAGAUAGUGAGAUUGAGACUGACACCGAGCAUUGCCUGGGAAUCACAUAAGAUAAUGCAGGCUGGGAAAUCUUAGGAUGGUGAACCAUCAUGUUUCCUGAAUGUGAAUCCUGUACCUGGUUUGACUGUAGUCACCCCUUCUCCAACACUCUCCACGAUGCCGGCUGCCUCAUGGCCUAAAAUCACAGGAAGUGGGGUCACCAUGGUACCACUAACCACGUGGUCAUCUGUGCCACAGAUUCCUACAGCCACCAUCUACAGAGUGAAGAGAAGAUGUUUAUAAAAGAUUGAUGUUCAACAUGAUCAAUGCCAAAUAAAUAUCAGAAUACUUGGAAGUAAAGUACUAAUAGUAGGAGUUCCUGAUUAUCAGGUGCCUAUGAUGUGACAGGCACAUUGUGGCCUGUGCUCGACCAGGAGACUGGUGAGUCCUUGUGGAUUUCUUCCCUGCUCAAGUGCAUAAAGCAGGUGUAUUGCAUAGGCUGAGAUCAAAGACGGAGAUGUGCCUACCCGCAGAUCCUAGAUGGCCAUGUUUGCAACAGAGGUAAUGAUGAGCAGUGCGAAGAUGUGACUCCAAAGCCUGGAGAAGGACAGACCAGCAUCCCUGCAAGAGAUCCAACUGUCUUCUUUUCCGCAGAGGUCCAUAAUUUACAUGGGCCUGACAAAGAAUACUGUAACUUGCAGAAAUUAUCUUCAGUUCAAAUCCUUCAUUUUGGGGGUUAAAUAACUUGCCCAAGAUGUCGAGGGAGCGGAAAUACUUGCUGGUCUUGCAGCGGCUGUGGAGCCUGGAAUCCUGCCAAGAAGAGCAUGUGUGAGAGAUCAAAAUGUUUGCUUACAUUCCUCCUGUGAAGGGAGUUGGGAAAUAACCUAAGAAGCCCAAUCCAAAAACAAAGAUGUACCAUCCAGUCUUCUCUGUGAGAACCAAACUACAAACCAUCUGAAUGUUCCAAAAGUGUUUUGAUGAUGUAUUGAUGUAUUUUAAAUUAUCCUGAAAAUGUUCUUGGCAGAUGCUUAAACAUGUAAUUACUGAGAUGAUGUAGAAAUACCAAGUGUUUAUUAAAACAAUACAGAGUAAUACAAAUGGUAUGUUUGUCGCAAUAUAAAAGUAUCUAAAAAUUAAAGAGUUCUUUAAUGGUGGAGAUUGUUUUCCUUUUUGAAGUUAAAAUAUAAAUUUUUGUAAAAAGCACAAAUUAUUACUAUUUAUAGCUAACAUUUAUGGAGUGCUGACUAUGCUCAUUUUUGAGCAUACAUUGCCUCAUUUAGUGCAAUGUUUAGCAUUAACUUAUGAGGUAAAUGCCAUUGCCAUGCACAUUGUACAGAUGAAGACAUUGAGGUUUAGAGAGAUUGCAU
rnacentral:lncRNA from 10 species